rnacentral:rRNA from 1 species
CCUACGGGCGGCAGCAGUGGGGAAUAUUGGACAAUGGGGGCAACCCUGAUCCAGCCAUGCCGCGUGUGUGAAGAAGGCCCUCGGGUUGUAAAGCACUUUCAGUGAGGAAGAACGCCUGGUGGUUAAUACCCAUCAGGAAAGACAUCACUCACAGAAGAAGCACCGGCUAACUCCGUGCCAGCAGCCGCGGUAAUACGGAGGGUGCAGAGCGUUAAUCGGAAUUACUGGGCGUAAAGCGCGCGUAGGUGGCUUGAUAAGCCGGUUGUGAAAGCCCCGGGCUCAACCUGGGAAUGGCAUCCGGAACUGUCAAGCUAGAGUGCAGGAGAGGAAGGUAGAAUUCCCGGGGUAGCGGUGAAAUGCGUAGAGAUCGGGAGGAAUACCAGUGGCGAAGGCGGCCUUCUGGACUGACACUGACACUGAGGUGCGAAAGCGUGGGUAGCAAACAGGAUUAGAUACCCCUGUAGUC